rnacentral:ncRNA from 2 species
GUCCAGAAUGUCGCGGACGGUUCCAGCGGUUCACACCCUGGAGGCAAGGAGGAAAGUUCGGUGUGAUGGGGCCUUGCGGGCCCCAUCGAAUCCGGCACUGUCCCGCAGCUGUGAUGGGGCUCCACUGUGGAGGCGCCCCUCAGUCAGAACGCUCGCCGUCCCAGUUCACCAACC